UACAGAGGGUGCGAGCGUUGUCCGGAAUCACUGGGCGUAAAGGGCGCGUAGGCGGCCUCCGCAAGUCAGUUGUGAAAUCUCCGAGCUUAACUCGGAAAGGUCAACUGAUACUGCGGGGCUAGAGUGCGGAAGGGGCAACUGGAAUUCUUGGUGUAGCGGUGAAAUGCGUAGAUAUCAAGAGGAACACCUGCGGCGAAGGCGGGUUGCUGGGCCGACACUGACGCUGAGGCGCGAAAGCUAGGGGAGCGAACGGG
rnacentral:rRNA from 1 species